rnacentral:rRNA from 1 species
UACGGGGGGGGCAAGCGUUGUUCGGAAUUACUGGGCGUAAAGGGCUCGUAGGUGGCCAACUAAGUCAGACGUGAAAUCCCUCGGCUUAACCGGGGAACUGCAUCUGAUACUGGAUGGCUUGAGUUUGGGAGAGGGAUGCGGAAUUCCAGGUGUAGCGGUGAAAUGCGUAGAUAUCUGGAGGAAUACCGGUGGCGAAGGCGGUUCUCUGGGCAUUACCUGACGCUGAGGAGCGAAAGUGUGGGGAGCGAACAGG